rnacentral:rRNA from 1 species
GNGGACACGUACGGGAACGGAGACUAACUACGAUAAGAUAUCGAACCGCAUGGUUCGAUAGUGAAAGAUGGUUUUGCUAUCACUUAUAGAUGGACCCGCGCCGUAUUAGCUAGUUGGUGAGGUAACGGCUCACCAAGGCAACGAUACGUAGCCGACCUGAGAGGGUGAUCGGCCACACUGGAACUGAGACACGGUCCAGACUCCUACGGGAGGCAGCAGAC